GAGGGGCAGCUAAGCGCAGGUCACGUGGUGUCCUGCGCCCACCAAAACUCGGGGACCUGCGCGGAGCCUCGGCAGACGAGCUGUAAAAAUGGCAGAGAGAGGUGUGGGCAGGAGGAUCACGAUAGAAUAUAACCAUGAGGACACGGACGCCCCGGGAGGAUGCUGCCUCAGUACAAUUAAUAACUCGCUGCCGGAGCUCGGUCGAUGGGUUCUGUUUUUUGUUUUAUACUACGACAAGGAGGAGGAGGAAGAAGAGGAGGAAUGAUUGUUGUUCUUCUGGCUGUUGUUGUCGUUGUCACCGUCCCAUGCACAGUGCCACGCUUACACGAAUCAACACUGCCAGCCAACACUUCCGCAUACUUUCAAUGAAGCAACAGUGCCGAGUGACUAACAAGUGGCAGUGACCAUGCAUAAGUCAUCACGGUAUAUUACUACUACGUGACAGUGAUACCAGUGCGUGCGUUUGUGUAUAAGUGCAGUGCCCACGGACAGUACCCGGCCAUGGACAGUACUUCUUGUAUGCUUACCAGUGUCCUUGAGUGCAGUUCCCCUCACAGUGGGUUGUCAGUGCAUAAUGCUGUGUCUCAGUAGUGACACGCAAUAUUCCUGGUAAUGGCAGUGAGCAGUGAAGCAGUGUUAUUGUGGAAUGCAGUGGGUCCGCUGUACGUGUAUAUUGUUGCGUCAAAUAUAUACUACUACUACUACUACUACUA